AGAGCUCGUAGGCGCGUUUGUCGCGUCUGCCGUGAAAGUCCGGGGCUCAACUCCGGAUCUGCGGUGGGUACGGGCAGACUAGAGUGAUGUAGGGGAGACUGGAAUUCCUGGUGUAGCGGUGAAAUGCGCAGAUAUCAGGAGGAACACCGAUGGCGAAGGCAGGUCUCUGGGCAUUAACUGACGCUGAGGAGCGAAAGCAUGGGGAGCGAACAGGAUUAGAUACCCUGGUAGUCCAUGCCGUAAACGUUGGGCACUAGGUGUGGGGGACAUUCCACGUUUUCCGCGCCGUAGCUAACGCAUUAAGUGCCCCGCCUGGGGAGUACGGCCGCAAGGCUAAAACUCAAAGGAAUUGACGGGGGCCCGCACAAGCGGCGGAGCAUGCGGAUUAAUUCGAUGCAACGCGAAGAACCUUACCAAGGCUUGACAUGAACCGGUAACGCCUGGAGACAGGUGCCCCGCUUGCGGUCGGUUUACAGGUGGUGCAUGGUUGUCGUCAGCUCGUGUCGUGAGAUGUUGGGUUAAGUCCCGCAACGAGCGCAACCCUCGUUCUAUGUUGCCAGCACGUGAUGGUGGGGACUCAUAGGAGACUGCCGGGGUCAACUCGGAGGAAGGUGGGGACGACGUCAAAUCAUCAUGCCCCUUAUGUCUUGGGCUUCACGCAUGCUACAAUGGCCGGUACAAAGGGUUGCGAUACUGUGAGGUGGAGCUAAUCCCAAAAAGCCGGUCUCAGUUCGGAUUGGGGUCUGCAACUCGACCCCAUGAAGUCGGAGUCGCUAGUAAUCGCAGAUCAGCAACGCUGCGGUGAAUACGUUCCCGGGGCUUGUACACACCGCCCGUCAGUCACGAAAGUUGGUAACUCCCGAAGCGGUGGCCUAACCCCUUGUGGAGGGAGCUGUCGAAAGUGGGACUGACGAUUGGGA
rnacentral:rRNA from 1 species